rnacentral:sRNA from 1 species
GUGGAAGAGAGCGCAGCCCGGCCACCGGACCUACUUACUCGCUUUGCUGAUUGUCUAUUUUUGAGUUUACAACUUUUCUAAGAACUUUUGUAUACAAAGGAACUUUUUAAAAAGGACGCUUCCAAGUUAUAUUUAAUCCAAAGAAGAAGGAUCUCGGCCAAUUUGGGGUUUUGGGUUUUGGCUUCGUUUCUUCUCUUCGUUGACUUUGGGGUUCGGGUGCCCCAGCUGCUUCGGGCUGCCGAGGACCUUCUGGGCCCCCACAUUAAUGAGGCAGCCACCUGGCGAGUCUGACAUGGCUGUCAGCGACGCGCUGCUCCCAUCUUUCUCCACGUUCGCGUCUGGCCCGGCGGGAAGGGAGAAGACACUGCGUCAAGCAGGUGCCCCGAAUAACCGCUGGCGGGAGGAGCUCUCCCACAUGAAGCGACUUCCCCCAGUGCUUCCCGGCCGCCCCUAUGACCUGGCGGCGGCGACCGUGGCCACAGACCUGGAGAGCGGCGGAGCCGGUGCGGCUUGCGGCGGUAGCAACCUGGCGCCCCUACCUCGGAGAGAGACCGAGGAGUUCAACGAUCUCCUGGACCUGGACUUUAUCCUCUCCAAUUCGCUGACCCAUCCUCCGGAGUCAGUGGCCGCCACCGUGUCCUCGUCAGCGUCAGCCUCCUCUUCGUCGUCGCCGUCGAGCAGCGGCCCUGCCAGCGCGCCCUCCACCUGCAGCUUCACCUAUCCGAUCCGGGCCGGGAACGACCCGGGCGUGGCGCCGGGCGGCACGGGCGGAGGCCUCCUCUAUGGCAGGGAGUCCGCUCCCCCUCCGACGGCUCCCUUCAACCUGGCGGACAUCAACGACGUGAGCCCCUCGGGCGGCUUCGUGGCCGAGCUCCUGCGGCCAGAAUUGGACCCGGUGUACAUUCCGCCGCAGCAGCCGCAGCCGCCAGGUGGCGGGCUGAUGGGCAAGUUCGUGCUGAAGGCGUCGCUGAGCGCCCCUGGCAGCGAGUACGGCAGCCCAUCGGUCAUCAGCGUCAGCAAAGGCAGCCCUGACGGCAGCCACCCGGUGGUGGUGGCGCCCUACAACGGCGGGCCGCCGCGCACGUGCCCCAAGAUCAAGCAGGAGGCGGUCUCUUCGUGCACCCACUUGGGCGCUGGACCCCCUCUCAGCAAUGGCCACCGGCCGGCUGCACACGACUUCCCCCUGGGGCGGCAGCUCCCCAGCAGGACUACCCCGACCCUGGGUCUUGAGGAAGUGCUGAGCAGCAGGGACUGUCACCCUGCCCUGCCGCUUCCUCCCGGCUUCCAUCCCCACCCGGGGCCCAAUUACCCAUCCUUCCUGCCCGAUCAGAUGCAGCCGCAAGUCCCGCCGCUCCAUUACCAAGGUCAGUCCCGGGGAUUUGUAGCUCGGGCUGGGGAGCCCUGUGUGUGCUGGCCCCCCUUCGGGACACACGGGAUGAUGCUCACCCCACCUUCUUCACCCCUAGAGCUCAUGCCACCCGGUUCCUGCAUGCCGGAGGAGCCCAAGCCAAAGAGGGGAAGACGAUCGUGGCCCCGGAAAAGGACCGCCACCCACACUUGUGAUUACGCGGGCUGCGGCAAAACCUACACAAAGAGUUCCCAUCUCAAGGCACACCUGCGAACCCACACAGGUGAGAAACCUUACCACUGUGACUGGGACGGCUGUGGAUGGAAAUUCGCCCGCUCAGAUGAACUGACCAGGCACUACCGUAAACACACUGGGCACCGCCCGUUCCAGUGCCAAAAAUGCGACCGAGCAUUUUCCAGGUCGGACCACCUCGCCUUACACAUGAAGAGGCAUUUUUAAAUCCCAGACAGUGGAUAUGACCCACACUGCCAGAAGAGAAUUCAGUAUUUUUUACUUUUCACACUGUCUUCCCGAUGAGGGAAGGAGCCCAGCCAGAAAGCACUACAAUCAUGGUCAAGUUCCCAACUGAGUCAUCUUGUGAGUGGAUAAUCAGGAAAAAUGAGGAAUCCAAAAGACAAAAAUCAAAGAACAGAUGGGGUCUGUGACUGGAUCUUCUAUCAUUCCAAUUCUAAAUCCGACUUGAAUAUUCCUGGACUUACAAAAUGCCAAGGGGGUGACUGGAAGUUGUGGAUAUCAGGGUAUAAAUUAUAUCCGUGAGUUGGGGGAGGGAAGACCAGAAUUCCCUUGAAUUGUGUAUUGAUGCAAUAUAAGCAUAAAAGAUCACCUUGUAUUCUCUUUACCUUCUAAAAGCCAUUAUUAUGAUGUUAGAAGAAGAGGAAGAAAUUCAGGUACAGAAAACAUGUUUAAAUAGCCUAAAUGAUGGUGCUUGGUGAGUCUUGGUUCUAAAGGUACCAAACAAGGAAGCCAAAGUUUUCAAACUGCUGCAUACUUUGACAAGGAAAAUCUAUAUUUGUCUUCCGAUCAACAUUUAUGACCUAAGUCAGGUAAUAUACCUGGUUUACUUCUUUAGCAUUUUUAUGCAGACAGUCUGUUAUGCACUGUGGUUUCAGAUGUGCAAUAAUUUGUACAAUGGUUUAUUCCCAAGUAUGCCUUAAGCAGAACAAAUGUGUUUUUCUAUAUAGUUCCUUGCCUUAAUAAAUAUGUAAUAUAAAUUUAAGCAAACGUCUAUUUUGUAUAUUUGUAAACUACAAAGUAAAAUGAACAUUUUGUGGAGUUUGUAUUUUGCAUACUCAAGGUGAGAAUUAAGUUUUAAAUAAACCUAUAAUAUUUUAUCUGAA